rnacentral:rRNA from 1 species
ACGCUCGACACCUACGGGGAGGCAGCAGGUGGGGAAUAUUGCACAAGUGGGGGAAACCCUGAUGCAGCGACGCCGCGUGAAGGAAGAAGUAUCUCGGUAUGUAAACUUCUAUCAGCAGGGAAGAAAAUGACGGUACCUGACUAAGAAGCCCCGGCUAACUACGUGCCAACAGCCGCGGUAAUCUGAGCGGGCUGGCAAGGC